CUUUUAUAUUAUUAUUCAGUUAAAGGUGAUGAUAGUAAUGACUUUAUAAGCAGUGUAUUAGAAGAAAUGACACUAGAACAGGAAAAGUUGAUUGAAGAGAAACAGAUUAUUACUGAAGAUUAUGAGAAACUUAAACUCAAAGUUGCUGAUGUGGAGGAAGAAUAUCUCAAGGAGAAACAGAUCAUUAUUGACGACAAUCAAAGUCUCAUUUCUGAGAAAGACAAAGUUAUAGCCAAACUGACAUCACAAGUAGAGGAACAAUCACAGAAUGAGAAACAGAUCA